rnacentral:lncRNA from 1 species
GGGAGCGGCGGCCGUCGGGGCUGUGGAUGGGGCCGUUGCUAGGGACGUAGCAUCCGUUUGUUCCGUUGCUAGGGGCGUUGCUAGGGGCGUUGCUAGGGGAGCGGCGGCCGUCGGGGCCGUUGCUAGGGGCGUAGCAUCCGUUUGUUCCGUUGCUAGGGGCGUUGCUAAGGGCAUCCGUGUUCCAGGGCCCGUUGCUAGGGGCGUUGCCAUGGAUAUCGGUGUUCCUGGGUCCGUUGCUAGGGGCGUUGCUAAGGGCAUCCGUGGUCCAGGGUCGGUUGCUAGGGCCGUUGCCAUGGAUAUUGGUGUUCUUGGGUCGGUUGCUAAGGGCAUCCGUGUUCCUGGGUCCGUUGCUAGGGCCAUUGCCAUGGAUAUCAGUGUUCCUGGGUCCGUUGCUAGGGGCGUUGCUAAGGGCAUCCAUGGUCCAGGGUCGGUUGCUAGGGCCGUUGCCAUGGAUAUUGGUGUUCCUGGGUCCGUUGCUAGGGCCGUUGCUAAGGGCAUCGAUGUUCCUGGGCCCGUUGCCAUGGAUAUCAGUGUUCCUGGACCCGUUGCUAAGGGCAUCCGUGCUCUUGAGCCCGUUGCUAGGGGCGUUGCUAAGGGCAUCCAUGUUCCUGGGUCCGUUGCUAGGGGCGUUGCCAUGGAUAUCGGUGUUCCUGGGUCCGUUGCCAGGGCUGUUGCUAAGAGCAUCCCUGCUGCUAGGACUGUUGCCAUGGGGACCGCUCCAUCCAUCACCGGGUCCGUUGCCAUGGGAACCACUCCAUCCAUCUCCAAGGCCGUUGCUAUGGGGACCACUCCAUCCAUCCCUGGGCCCGUUGCCAUGGGGACCGCUCGAUCCAUCACCGGGACCGUCGCCACGGGGACCCCCGGGCCCCUCUCCGGGGCCGUUGCCAUGGAGACCGCGCCCCCCCCCACCCCGAGGUCGGUCGCUAAGGGCGGCGGGGCGGUUUCGUCGGGCCCUGGCCAGCAGGCUGUCGCAUUCCACCACGGUGUAGCGCAGCUCGGCGUAGACGUAGGUGGCCCCCCGGCGCGGCACCCAGGUGGAACGCAGCCAGCUGUUCUGGGGGGGGCCGGGGGGGUGCAACCCCGAGCAAACCUCGAACGUCCUCACCGCCGUCUGCCGCUCCUCGUCCAGCCCGCUCAGCUCCUCC